UGAACGCUGGCGGCGUGCCUACUACAUGCAAGUCGAGCGAACAGACGAGGAGCUUGCUCCUCUGACGUUAGCGGCGGACGGGUGAGUAACACGUGGAUAACCUACCUAUAAGACUGGGAUAACUUCGGGAAACCGGAGCUAAUACCGGAUAAUAUAUUGAACCGCAUGGUUCAAUAGUGAAAGACGGUUUUGCUGUCACUUAUAGAUGGAUCCGCGCCGCAUUAGCUAGUUGGUAAGGUAACGGCUUACCAAGGCAACGAUGCGUAGCCGACCUGAGAGGGUGAUCGGCCACACUGGAACUGAGACACGGUCCAGACUCCUACGGGAGGCAGCAGUAGGGAAUCUUCCGCAAUGGGCGAAAGCUUGACGGAGCAACGCCGCGUGAGUGAUGAAGGUCUUCGGAUCGCAAAACUCUGUUAUUAGGGAAGAACAAAUGUGUAAGUAACUAUGCACGUCUUGACGGUACCUAAUCAGAAAGCCACGGCUAACUACGUG
rnacentral:rRNA from 1 species